GAGGCUGAAAAAGUGAAUUGGGUUAGCA
rnacentral:piRNA from 1 species